GAGAGAACUGCAGUACUUCAUUGCAGACCCAGGAGGACGUGUGAUGCUGCAAGCAAAUGAAGGCCAUGCUCCUGGCUAGGAGGCUGGGCUGUGACCUGGAUUCAGGUCGCUGCUCUGCUAUUCAUCUCUCAUGUUUCCUCAGGCACAUCACCGUCCCAGAAGCUUUUCAUCUGCGACGGAAGGAAAUACUUAACACCAUCAGUGGUCUGAAUCUCCCUUGUUUGAAGUGUUGCCAGCACAGCUGCAGAGUGCAUCUCAGAUUAAUGGGAGCCAUGACAAACAGAAUGAGUUACCCGCAUGCAAACUUUUCAUCAAAUAUGCACAGCAGGUAACAGAAGCUCCACUGUGCAUGCCAAGUUGUGAUGAGAAGCGUUACCAAGUAUGUUUCAACACCAUGACGGCAAGUAAAGGCAACUCUUGGAAUCCACAUUUAAUCUACUCUGUGCUACCAAUUACUGCUGCUUUAAAGCCUCUUCCAGACACUGGCAGGAUUAAAUGGCUGCCUCCAACAUGUUCUACAGCCUAUGAACAACCAAGGAGCAGUGCAGAGAAAUCCUAUUACUGGUACUUUUCAAAUCACUACAAAGUAGUUUGUACAUCACCAGUGCCAAAAAUCUCAACUAUGCUCACUUCAGAAAUUACAAAUGUUUCAUGUCGAUUUUGGUAAAAAUACUUUUGCUGUUGGGAAUAUAUAAUGAAGGAGAACUCGGUGGGGGUGGUAGUAGAACAGUUUAUCAUUUGAACAACAUCUCACAAUAACCAAGUACAGAUAUAUUCAUUUAUUAACAAAUGUGGAGAUCACAACUGUUUUGUUUUCUUAACAUCAGCUACUUAUUUAAUCCACAUAUUUAGCUAUUGUAAUAACCAAAAAAACAAAAAUUCUCUUUCCCUUGAUGACUACACAUUUGUACUGCUUCUCCCCUGUUCUCAGCAAAUUACUUGGGUCAAGUGCAAGACACUCUUAAUAGCAUUUGUUAUCAUGCAGGCUUCUGGCAGACAGCAGUAUCUUAUGUUUCCACUGGCAUUUCUUAUCAUUAAAUGGCCAUAUAAGUCUCCUGGCUUUAGCAUAUAUCUUGCCCACUGUUCUUUUCUUCUCACAUUUAAGUCAAUAAUUCUCCAGUCAAAUUAGUCACACUUAAAAAGCUUACACCUAUCUGCUAAUUCACAAUAAUAAGUAACAGAGGAAAUGCAAUGUUAUAUGAAAUAUCUUAGACAAAAGACAUGAAUAUGUUCUCUACACACAUGGUAUAAAGGGCACAAAGUAAUGAGAUUAAAUUACAGCAAGAAAGAUUCAGGUUACAAACAGGAAAAGCAUCCAUAGAACCAGGGCAGCUAAAACACUCAAGCAGAGUGCUUGGGGAUGCUGUGUCACACCUGUCACUGGAGGUAUCUAAGAGUGGAAACAAAAAUCUACCUUGAAGUAUUACAGGUCUUGUCAAUCUUGCUGUGGGUGAGAUGGACUAAAUAACUUCCUGUAGUUCUUUCUAUCCCAAUCAUUCUAGAAUGUGUUGGAGACACGGAAAAUACAAAGUUCAAAAAUUGGACUAGAAAAAGUUUAUGCUACCCUCUAAAUUAGUAUCUGAACUCAUCUCUAGAGCCUACUUCAUUCUUUCAACAUUAUUAACAGAAAGCACACCCCUGGGGAACUGAUACUUCUAAAGCAGAGAGUGGGAGAAGGAAGAGGAGAGAAAAAACAUUAGAUAUAACCAACACUACAACUGAUAAGAAAUUCACCUUCUACUCUUUUUUCCUGGUUGGGAUUUAGAAACUUAUAAAAGUGACAUGGUUCAGAUGGAAAGACUUAAGUAUAAAGAAAGUCCCACCAGAAAUGCUACGUAACACAACAUUCCUUAAUAUUAUUGUCAUUCAUAAUAGCAAGGUCUCAUUAAAAUAUUACUGAAAAUGACACUGACUUAUACUGAAGUGACUUAGACAUACCUCUUCUACCCACGGCUUCAAAUUCUCCAGUGAUUAUCUUCAUACCAUUAGCUACACAUUUUGAUUUCAGAAACAUUUGAAAUGCAGUAAGACAAGAAGAACCUUGAAAGCACGUACAUAUCCAGGAGGAGGCAGGUAACCCAAAGAAAUCUGAAUCUAUGUCCCAGGGAGCCAGAAGUACCAUGGCACCAUAGCAGCGACCAUGCAGCCUGCUCCACUCCAGCGGAGGGGAUCACCACCUGCAGUCAUCCCCACGGGCACCCCUUGCAUGUACACUGCCUUUUCCAAUCUGCCAGUGCCGCUGUUUCUGCAGUGGCACCAUAAUAAUAACCCAAUCCAAAAGCACGAUCCAAGCUACAAAAGCUUCUGUAGUCGUAAUUCAGGUAAUAGUAAACUACUAUUUACAUUACUUGCACUAGCCCAGCUCAAUCUGAGUUUACUACGAUCCGGACACAACACCAUGAGCAGCUGAGUUUGUUGCAUGAGAGGAUGAAGGGGAAGACUGACCCAGGUAGCUGGGCUUAUAACCCUCCUAGCUGGCCCAGCAACAGCUGAAAGAGGAUGUGUGUUCAGGUCUCCAAGGAGCAGGGAAAGGUGAUUGUGCCCUUUCUUCCUGCUAGUGGAAUGCAACUUGGUGUGACACUUCUGUGUUUAACAGCACCCCUGCCUUGCAACAUUUUUCUCUGCGCAGAUAAUAAACAUCCAUCCACAAAGAAAUUGUAAUCCUCUCCCACAGCCCUUUUCCUUUAUUCUUUUAUUACUUUAGAAUACUUUACCGAGAAUUCAUCGGUAAAGAAUAAUUUCUUCUAGUCGCUCCUAACGUCUGCCAUUUAAAAAAUUGUCAUUAUUAAAUUCUAGCUCUAUUUUUGGGCUACAAAGUAGUCCAUAAGAUUAAAAAGUUCAGAAAAGGCAGCUAAUUUUUGUGCACAAAGAAGAUUCAUGGACAAAUUGCCUGCUUUAUGGAGACAAGGAAGCUAACAAAAGUUCUCUGAUGACAGUUACAAAAGAAGCAAGAUUACCAUUCUUCAAAGCCGCAUAGAAAAGAUCAGUAGAAUGCUCUGGUAUUUAAUACUUUAAAGUAAGCCUCUAUAAUUAAAUGUUAGAUUUUCUAUUAGAGAAAUGAUCAGAUUAAAGAUGGGUUGAUCAAAGAUUUAAAUUUAAUUUGGCUACUUUAGAUACUCUAAUAAAGAUGUUCUGUUGAUUCUCAAACCAGUAGCACUUAAAUUAAGAGCAUUUCAGGGAAUGCCUCAUCACAUUGUGAACUACAGUAUGUUCUUCUGUACUGAGUACAAAAUUCUGUCCUUUUAGGGAAAAGAAGAAAAGCACGCGAGAAGAUUUUCUGCUUAUCUCUGCAGGCUAAAAGGGUAAUAAAAUUUGUACUGUAACCUAUCCUUUGAAUUUUCUCAGCCUAAUUGCUCACUACACCCACAGACUCACAUUUCUAGAAAAUAAUAUUUUAAUAGACUUUAAUCCAUACCUUUUCAACUGCAUUUUUUAUUCAUUUUCAUGUAGUUCUCAGCAGAGGAUCAAACCUGUAUCAACAAUGCAUACUUCACCCUGUUUCCCACCACAUGUAGUAUAUGAUGCAUAGGCCUACCAGGAAAACAAGGAAAUUCCCUUUUUAUGUCAGCAAAAAGGGAACUCCUUGGACAUCAUAAUCAGUUUUCUUUAUCUUAGCCUGUAAAAGGGUAAACUAAAAGAAAUAACUAAAAGACAAUAGCCUUCCUGCCUUGUUUUAGUAAAACAACAGUACAAUAGGCCACAUUCAAGACACCUAUGAAAGCAGAAAGAUAUCAACAGCAUGAAAAUUUUAGUUCAUAAAAGAGCUAAAUGUGUAUAGCUCAACUAAUUGAUAGGAAUGAAACUCAACAGUAAGAGAACAGAAUGAGCAAUUAGUCUAUCUACCCACAUUUCAAAUACCACAUAGACAUUCUUAGCUCAACUGCACAACUAACAUAACUCGGAAAAAUGAUUUUGCAUUGCAUCUAUGGCAUUUUUCACCAA